rnacentral:rRNA from 1 species
UACGAAGGGGGCUAGCGUUGUUCGGAAUCACUGGGCGUAAAGGGCGCGUAGGCGGCUUUAUAAGUCGGGGGUGAAAGCCUGUGGCUCAACCACAGAAUUGCCUUCGAUACUGUAGAGCUUGAGACCGGAAGAGGUAAGUGGAACUGCGAGUGUAGAGGUGAAAUUCGUAGAUAUUCGCAAGAACACCAGUGGCGAAGGCGGGUCUCUGGACAGUUCCUGACGCUGAGGCACGAAGGUCAGGGGAGCAAACGGG